CCCUCGCCGGCCUCCCGCCCAUCGGGCCGCCUUCUGCCUGCCUUCUGGCCGCCCCGAACCCGGAGCCGGGGAGUCCUCUGGCCGCUGAAGAGCAACUGUCCCCUUCACUGAGCAGGAGACUGACCGGUGAAGUGAAGGAGGGAGGAAGCCGUGAGAAGAAUCAAUCCUCUCAUGCUGUUGUACUCACACGAGCGCUGAGUCCAGGACUCUACGCAGACAGUGAGGAAUGAAAAAGCCCAAGCUUUCACUUCUCUCUCCGAACCGCCACUUUCAUCCCUUGCCCGUCUGGCACCAGCCGAGGGCCCCGUGCGAAGCAAGCGGGCAGGGCCGGUCCGAAGGGCAACUGACGGAGGUCCUUAGAGCCGCCCGGAUCCCUGGGCAGAGGUGAUGGAGGAGGAGCGGGAAGCGGAGGGUGGAGGAGCCAGCGCUUCCAAAUGAUUCGGAUUUCCGGAGCAUCCCAGCCGGUCCCUACCUCUGCCGGGCUCGACGAGUCCUCCAGACUGGACACUCGUGUGGGCAGGGAAUGUGCCUGUUUAUUGCUAUACUAUACUCUCCCGCGAGCUAAGUACAGUGCUCUGCACACAGUAAGCGCUCAAUAAAGACGAAUGACUGAGUUAGCCGACUGCCGGUGGA